rnacentral:rRNA from 1 species
AGUGAACGCUGGCGGUAGGCCUAACACAUGCAAGUCGAACGGCAGCACAGGAGAGCUUGCUCUCUGGGUGGCGAGUGGCGGACGGGUGAGGAAUACAUCGGAAUCUACUCUGUCGUGGGGGAUAACGUAGGGAAACUUACGCUAAUACCGCAUACGACCUACGGGUGAAGGCAGGGGACCUCCGGGCCUUGCGCGAUUGAAUGAGCCGAUGUCGGAUUAGCUAGUUGGCGGGGUAAAGGCCCACCAAGGCGACGAUCCGUAGCUGGUCUGAGAGGAUGAUCAGCCACACUGGAACUGAGACACGGUCCAGACUCCUACGGGAGGCAGCAGUGGGGAAUAUUGGACAAUGGGCGCAAGCCUGAUCCAGCCAUACCGCGUGGGUGAAGAAGGCCUUCGGGUUGUAAAGCCCUUUUGUUGGGAAAGAAAUCCAGCUGGCUAAUACCCGGUUGGGAUGACGGUACCCAAAGAAUAAGCACCGGCUAACUUCGUGCCAGCAGCCGCCGUAA